GGGGAUGUGGCUCAGUUGGUAGAGUGCUUGCUUAAUACACAUGGAGCCCUGGGUUCAAUCCCUAGUUCUUCA
rnacentral:tRNA from 1 species